rnacentral:sRNA from 1 species
CUGACUUCCAUCUUCUACAAUCUCCUAUACCUCUGCAGCAUUAGGGAUAAUCUAGCAGCCAACUGCCUUCCUCCAACCUUCCCAAGCCCCUUCGUCCACUUUUUCAUCUUUCCCUUUGUCCUCUCGUCGAUCAAGCCUCCAUUCGAGGCGACUAGAGAUUUCAAACCGUCCAAGACUGGGAGCAGCGCUGCCCUCGCGACGCCCCUUUUUGCCCCGUUCUGUAACGAUUAGAGACACUGACGAAAGGGAAAGUCGUAGUUUGGCUCCCCCGGUUUUCGGGGAUGUUGCGUUGAUGAAGGGAGUAAAAUACACUUUAUGUUCUGUCACUGUAAAUUUGUUAUUAUGCUUUUUCACUUUUAUCUUUUUUGCUCUAAGUUUUUUCUCAUGUCGGCCAUUAUUAUAUAACGCGGCGAUCUGAACAACUACUAGCAGUAAUAGGGAAGGAAUACUUGGUGUAUUGACAAUUUAUGGACUAUGAGUUAGAAUGGAGUAGUUUGUGGCAU